rnacentral:rRNA from 1 species
AUUGAACGCUGGCGGCAUGCUUUACACAUGCAAGUCGAACGGCAGCGCGGGGCCACCUGGCGGCGAGUGGCGAACGGGAGAGUAAUAUAUCGGAACGUACCCAGAAGUGGGGGAUAACGUAGCGAAAGUUACGCUAAUACCGCAUACGAUCUACGGAUGAAAGUAGGGGACCGCAAGGCCUUAUGCUUUUGGAGCGGCAGAUAUCUGAUUAGCUAGUUGGUGUGGUAAAGGCUCACCAAGGCGACGAUCAGUAGCUGGUCUGAGAGGACGACCAGCCACACUGGAACGGAGACACGGUCCAGACUCCUACGGGAGGCAGCAGUGGGGAAUUUUGGACAAUGGGCGCAAGCCUGAUCCAGCAAUGCCGCGUGAUGGAAGAAGGCCUUCGGGUUGUAAAGCUCUUUUGUCAGGGAAGAAACGGUAGAGGCUAAUAUCCUUUGCUAAUGACGGUACCUGAAGGAUAAGCACCGGCUAACUACGUG